rnacentral:lncRNA from 1 species
CGAGAACCCUCUCAGCUGCCACCUCUGAGAAUGCCUUCUCACAAUUCUUGACACAACUUUCAAGCAAAACCAAGGACAGGUAUUGAGCCCUAGGGCUCUUCAUCAUUAUCCUCCGCUUUAUGCCACGGAUCAAUUCAACACUGCUAAUUUUUUCGUGAUUGAUCAUGUCACAGAUUUCAAGAUUUAAGGCCCAAUCAGGCUCAUCAAGGGUCUCUGAGGUGGCAUCCUCAACAAGCUUAUCAGCUUGGUUCGGGCCUUGGAAGAGCUCCUUCACCUUAAAGCUCAUUGAGCUCAUGCCAGCACUUACUUUUCUGCCCACCUC